GGCGGGCCAAAAAAAAAAGUAUUGCCUACUGGAAGAAGGCGGGUGAAGGGGCGGAGCCUCUUCAGGGGUGAGAAGCAGAGAAUCGAUGGAAUCGACCUCUCCAGCCUCCUGGUGUCCUGUGAACUCCAGGAUGAUGGGAACUCCACUGGAGAUGGUGCCAAGGCCAGCAUCAAAAAAGGACUUUUGCUGGAGCCCGAGCCGGCACAGGGGUAGCCACGCUGGCCUGAGAAUGAAUCACAGCUGGAUGGAAGAACACCAGCAUUUCAAAACUCAGAUUCUAAUGAAUCCUGGGUUGUAGCUCAUCAGGGUCUCACUGUUUUGAGGAAGACGUUAAGUUUCUACCCAACAGCUGUAUCUGAGCAUUCCAGUAAGAUGAUUAACAACUACAUUCCAAGCAUAAUACUGGGCUUCAUGCCCACUUGAUGCCAAGGUAGCAACCAACAGCUCAAAUCCAAAUUCUUUAUAAAUUUAGUCCCAGGGAGGGAAAAUAGAAAUAAAAUA